AGAUGGUGACACAUUUGUUAUCUUCCAAAAGUUUUGUCACAAAGAGUCUUACUUUCAGUACCCCUUACCGUCAUCCAGAAUUGGAUGCUACAGAGUGUCGCAGCUGAACAGCAGACCUGGCAUUACAAGGCUCAAUAAUAUUACUGGCAAAUAUUUUCUUUGUCCAGACAACACAGCUUUCAUUGCAUUGCCAAUCAUGCAUAGUCAAUAAAAAAAACAGAGUUUAUUUUAUCGGGUUUGCUUGUAAUUGUUGCCUAUAUACAUUUUAAGCUAUUAUUUAUUAUUUAGUUCAGUCAAUAGAUCUAGUUUUGUAGUGACUAUGAAAUAUAUUGUAAUUAUCUGUUUCCUGUUUAUCCUAGACAGGGCAAGAAAAGACUCCAAAUUUUAUAAAAAGAUAAAAAUGAAAGACUGGUGCAGUGUGCAGUUCAGCACUGGUGGUACAGAAAUAGUCCCUAGUUCAUGGUUAAAUGGGGAGAAAUUGUCAUGGCCUCCAUAUCCUCCGCGAGACACAUUCAGGAUCCACGCCGCAGUAAAGAGGAGAGUUCAUCCUGGUGCAACAUGGCUCACCUAUGCACCAGUCCGGCUUCUCAUAAGCCAUGACACAUUUCAAGAAGCCGAACGCAGUCUUCAGAAAUAUCUAAGUGAACACUGUGAUACGUCUGACCUUCAGUCCGAAGCUGAAACUCAGACCAGUCAUAAAAGAAAGCACUAACCAAAUCCCCUGUACACAUAUAGUGACUCAGAGGAUG